GGCCUUUUAGUGUAAUUGGUCAUCACAGCGGAUUCUGAUUAAAGGAUCUGUGAGAUUCCUGAUUCCAGCAUUCCGCUAAUCUGGGUUCGAUUCCCAGGGAGGCCU